rnacentral:rRNA from 1 species
GAUGAACGCUGGCUACAGGCUUAACACAUGCAAGUCGAGGGGAAACGACGGGGAAGCUUGCUUCCCCGGGCGUCGACCGGCGCACGGGUGAGUAACGCGUAUCCAACCUGCCUCUGACUGAGGGAUAACCCGUCGAAAGUCGGCCUAAUACCUCAUGGCAUCGUCUGCGGGCAUCCAACGACGAUUAAAGAUUUCAUCGGUCAGAGAUGGGGAUGCGUCUGAUUAGCUUGUUGGCGGUGUACCGGCCCACCAAGGCGACGAUCAGUAGGGGUUCUGAGAGGAAGGUCCCCCACAUUGGAACUGAGACACGGGCCAAACUCCUACGGGAGGCAGCAGUGAGGAAUAUUGGUCAAGGGGCGAGAGCCUGAACCAGCCAAGUAGCGUGCAGGAUGACGGCCCUAUGGGUUGUAAACUGCUUUUAGGCGGGGAUAAAGUGAGGGACGUGUCCUUCAUUGCAGGUACCGCAUGAAUAAGGACCGGCUAAUUCCGUG